AGGGGGCAAGCGUUGUCCGGAAUCAUUGGGCGUAAAGAGCGUGUAGGCGGCCCGAUAAGUCCGCUGUGAAAGUCCAGGGCUCAACCCUGGAAUGCCAGUGGAAACUGUCGGGCUAGAGUCCGGAAGAGGCGAGUGGAAUUCCUGGUGUAGCGGUGAAAUGCGCAGAUAUCAGGAGGAACACCAGUGGCGAAGGCGGCUCUCUGGACCGGUUCUGACGCUCAGGCGCGAAAGCGUGGGGAGCGAUCCGG
rnacentral:rRNA from 1 species